rnacentral:rRNA from 1 species
AGGGAAACAGCCCAGACCACCAGCUAAGGUCCCCAAUGUCGUACUAAGUGGAAAAGGAUGUGGGGUUUCAUAAACAACCAGGAUGUUGGCUCAGAAGCAGCCACCAUUUAAAGAGUGCGUAAUAGCUCACUGGUCGAGAGACCCUGCGCCGAAGAUUCCCGGGGCUAAAGUACGAAACCGAAGCUGUGGCUGUAUACGUAAAGUAUACGGGGUAGGGGAGCGUUCCCAUAGGGUAGAAGUCGAACUGGAAGGUUCGGUGGACUUGUGGGAAGUGAGAAUGUUGGUAUGAGUAGCGAAAAGAAAGGUGAGAAUCCUUUCCACCGAAAGCACGAGGAUUCCUGAGCAACGAUCGUCGUCUCAGGGUAAGUCGGGACCUAAUCCGAGGCAGAGAGCGUAGGAGAUGGACAACUGGUUGAUAUUCCAGUACCGGUAGUAAUUGUUUGAGCAAUGGAGUGACACAGAAGGGCAGGCAAGCAUGCGAAUGGAAGAGCAUGUGUAAGCGUGUAGGGUGGUGCAUAGGCAAAUCCGUGCACUGAAAGCCUGAGGCGUGAUGCGGAGUGAGCAGAGAUGCGAGCGAAGUUGUUGACCCCACACUGUCGAGAAAAGCUUCUAGUGAGAGAGCUACCGCCCGUACCGUAAACCGACACAGGUGGAUGCGGGGAGAGAAUCCUAAGGUGCGCGGGAGAACCCUCGUUAAGGAACUCGGCAAAAUGUACCCGUAACUUCGGGAUAAGGGUAGCCACUGUUGUGAAGUCCCAUGCGGAUGGAGCAUAGAGUGGUCGCAGAGAAGAGGCCCAAGCGACUGUUUACCAUAAACACAGGUGCCUGCUAAAGCGAAAGCUGACGUAUAGGUGCUGACACCUGCCCAGUGCCGGAAGGUUAAGGAAGGAUGUUCGGAGUAAUCCAAAGCAUUCGACUGAAGCCCCGGUGAACGGCGGCCGUAACUAUAACGGUCCUAAGGUAGCGAAAUUCCUUGUCGGGUAAGUUCCGACCCGCACGAAAGGUGUAACGACUUGCGCACUGUCUCAACGAGGGACCCGGUGAAAUUGAAAUACCUGUGAAGAUGCAGGUUACCCGCGACUGGACAGAAAGACCCCAUGGAGCUUUACUGUAACCUGACAUUGGGUUUUGAUACAUUACGUACAGGAUAGGUGGGAGGCAUGGAAAGCUGGACGCUAGUCUGGCUGGAGCCGACGUUGGGAUACCACCCUUGAUGUAUUGAAAUUCUAACCGCGAGAGUAACGAAAUCCGGGACAGUGUCAGGCGGGCAGUUUGACUGGGGCGGUCGCC